UACGUAGGGGGCGAGCGUUGUCCGGAUUUAUUGGGCGUAAAAGGCUUGUAGGUGGCCACGCGAAGUCGGAUGUGAAAUCUCCCGGCUCAACUGGGAGGGGUCAUUCGAUACUGGCGGGCUCGAGGCCGGUAGGGGGAAGCGGAAUUCCCGGUGUAGUGGUGGAAUGCGUAGAGCUCCGGAGGAACACCAGUGGCGAAGGCGGCCGCCUGGGCCAAUACUGACGCUGAGCCGCGAAAGCGUGGGGAGCGAGCCGG
rnacentral:rRNA from 1 species